rnacentral:rRNA from 1 species
UACGAAGGGGGCUAGCGUUGCUCGGAAUGACUGGGCGUAAAGGGUGCGUAGGCGGGUUUUUAAGUCAGAGGUGAAAUCCUGGAGCUCAACUCCAGAACUGCCUUUGAUACUGAAGAUCUUGAGUCCGGAAGAGGUGAGUGGAACUGCGAGUGUAGAGGUGAAAUUCGUAGAUAUUCGCAAGAACACCAGUGGCGAAGGCGGCUCACUGGUCCGGUACUGACGCUGAGGCACGAAAGCGUGGGGGAGCAAACAGGG